rnacentral:misc_RNA from 1 species
AACGCACAUUGCGCCCGCCAGCACCCUGGCGGGCAUGCCUGUCCGAGCGUCGCUUCCGCCCGUCGAGCCCGGCUCGCGCUGGGGCCCCGCGGCCGCCGCGGGCCCCGAAAGGCAGCGGCGGGGCCGCCACCGCGCCGAGCGUAGUAGCACACGCCGCUCCGGCGCGGGGCGGGCCCCCGCCCCGACGCACACCCCUCUAGGCCGACCUCGGAUCAGGUAGGGAUACCCGCUGAACUUAA